UGGGGAAUAUUGGACAAUGGGCGAAAGCCUGAUCCAGCCAUGCCGCGUGUGUGAAGAAGGUCUUCGGAUUGUAAAGCACUUUAAGUUGGGAGGAAGGGCAGUAAGCGAAUACCUUGCUGUUUUGACGUUACCGACAGAAUAAGCACCGGCUAACUCUGUGCCAGCAGCCGCGGUAAUACAGAGGGUGCAAGCGUUAAGCGGAAUUACUGGGCGUAAAGCGCGCGUAGGUGGUUCGUUAAGUUGAAUGUGAAAGCCCCGGGCUCAACCUGGGAACUGCAUCCAAAACUGGCGAGCUAGAGUAGGGCAGAGGGUGGUGGAAGUUCCUGUGUAGCGGUGAAAUGCGUAGAUAUAGGAAGGAACGCCAGUGGCGAAGGCGACCACCUGGGCUCAUACUGACACUGAGGUGCGAAAGCGUGGGGAGCAAACAGG
rnacentral:rRNA from 1 species